CACAUGCAAGUCGAGCGCGGGAAGCAAACUGAAUCCUUCGGGAGGACGUUUGUGGGACGAGCGGCGGACGGGUGAGUAACACGUGGGCAACCUGCCUGUAAGACUGGGAUAACUCCGGGAAACCGGGGCUAAUACCGGAUAACCCAUUGGACCACAUGGUCCAGUGUUGAAAGAUGGCUUUUAGCUAUCACUUACAGAUGGGCCCGCGGCGCAUUAGCUAGUUGGUGAGGUAACGGCUCACCAAGGCAACGAUGCGUAGCCGACCUGAGAGGGUGAUCGGCCACACUGGGACUGAGACACGGCCCAGACUCCUACGGGAGGCAGCAGUAGGGAAUCUUCCGCAAUGGACGAAAGUCUGACGGAGCAACGCCGCGUGAGUGAGGAAGGCCUUCGGGUCGUAAAACUCUGUUGUUAGGGAAGAACAAGUACCGUUCGAAUAGGUCGGUACCUUGACGGUACCUAACCAGAAAGCCACGGCUAACUACGUGCCAGCAGCCGCGGUAAUACGUAGGUGGCAAGCGUUGUCCGGAAUUAUUGGGCGUAAAGCGCGCGCAGGCGGUUCCUUAAGUCUGAUGUGAAAGCCCCCGGCUCAACCGGGGAGGGUCAUUGGAAACUGGGGAGCUUGAGUGCAGAAGAGGAGAGCGGAAUUCCACGUGUAGCGGUGAAAUGCGUAGAUAUGUGGAGGAACACCAGUGGCGAAGGCGGCUCUCUGGUCUGUAACUGACGCUGAGGCGCGAAAGCGUGGGUAGCGAACAGGAUUAGAUACCCUGGUAGUCCACGCCGUAAACGAUGAGUGCUAGGUGUUAGGGGUUUCCACCCUUAGUGCUGCAGUUAACGCAAUAAGCACUCCGCCUGGGGAGUACGGCCGCAAGGCUGAAACUCAAAGGAAUUGACGGGGGCCCGCACAAGCGGUGGAGCAUGUGGUUUAAUUCGAAGCAACGCGAAGAACCUUACCAGGUCUUGACAUCUUCGGACCACCCUAGAGAUAGGGUCUUCCCUUCGGGGACCGAAUGACAGGUGGUGCAUGGUUGUCGUCAGCUCGUGUCGUGAGAUGUUGGGUUAAGUCCCGCAACGAGCGCAACCCUUGAUCUUAGUUGCCAGCAUUCAGUUGGGCACUCUAAGGUGACUGCCGGUGACAAACCGGAGGAAGGUGGGGAUGACGUCAAAUCAUCAUGCCCCUUAUGACCUGCGCUACACACGUGCUACAAUGGAUGGUACAAAGGGCAGCGAAACCCGCGAGGUUGAGCAAAUCCCAUAAAGCCAUUCUCAGUUCGGGAUU
rnacentral:rRNA from 1 species